rnacentral:rRNA from 1 species
GAGUUUGAUCAUGGCUCAGAGUGAACGCUGGCGGUAGGCCUAACACAUGCAAGUCGAACGGCAGCACAGUAAGAGCUUGCUCUUACGGGUGGCGAGUGGCGGACGGGUGAGGAAUACAUCGGAAUCUACUUUUUCGUGGGGAUAACGUAGGGAAACUUACGCUAAUACCGCAUACGACCUACGGGUGAAAGCAGGGGAUCUUCGGACCUUGCGCGAUUGAAUGAGCCGAUGUCGGAUUAGCUAGUUGGCGGGUAAAGGCCGACCAAGGCGACGAUCCGUAGCUGGUCUGAGAGGAUGAUCAGCCACACUGGAACUGAGACACGGUCCAGACUCCUACGGGAGGCAGCAGUGGGGAAUAUUGGACAAUGGGCGCAAGCCUGAUCCAGCCAUA